AACAGAGGGUAAAGGUCGUCUUUGUACGACUGGACCGACGCAUAGGACUCUUUUAGACUUAUUAUAUUAUAAGACUCGAACAUCAUUAAAUUUUUCUCGUUGGAAAUGUGAAUUUUUGUGUGAAAAGUUGUUAGGGGAGGCAACUGAUGGAGAAGAACUUAAAUGAAACGGGAGAGUAUUGUUUUGUUAUCUCGAAAAAUUAUGUUAUGCUACGUAAAAAAGUUAUUACGUGUAAUAUAACGUGAGUGAUUGGAAAUUGUAAAAACGAUAUUAUUCCCAUUACAUAAAAGUGUUUCUCUGAGUGAUGAGGCCUAUCUCUUUCUUUGCCCCAUUUUGAUUACAUUAUUGUAUUUUAUAUUGUUUAUAUGCUUUACGUGCUGGCAUUUCAUUUGCCUUUAUCAAUUAUUGGUGGUAUGAUGGGGUGGUGGUGUCUUCAUAGUUGGAAACUCUUUAUUUUUAUGAGAAUUUCAAUUUUGUUAGUAGUUUGAUAAUACUUAAACUUUUUUUUUUUUUUGGAAAGUUAAGAAGAGCGAGGGAAGUUUUCUAAUACAUACACGUUAUUAAGGUGUUAUAGGAGUUCAAAUUUGAGAUCAUUCGUCUACAAGUCCACGAUAAACUAUUUUCUAAAUUGUCUCUCCUUUCUUCCUCCCUUGCAUGAUUCGUUUUCUUCUCACUUUCCUAAAACCCUCCCUUACAUUACGAAACUGGUUCCAAGAUUUUAUUUUGAAUUCAG
rnacentral:lncRNA from 1 species